rnacentral:misc_RNA from 1 species
AAGUCGUAACAAGGUCUCCGUUGGUGAACCAGCGGAGGGAUCAUUAUUGAGUUGCAAAACUCCCUAAACCCAUUGUUUACAUAUCUCGAAAUACGUCUGCUUCGGCGGGCGGCCCCAGGGCGGGGCCGCAGUUCGUCGCCUAGUGCGUUGAGCGCCCGCCGGAGAGGACACCCCAAAACUCUUGUUUCAGUACAACUCUGAGCAUAAAGACAAAUAGUCAAAACUUUCAACAACGGAUCUCUUGGUUCUG